rnacentral:rRNA from 1 species
CCUACGGGAGGCAGCAGUGGGGAAUAUUGGACAAUGGGCGAAAGCCUGAUCCAGCCAUGCCGCGUGUGUGAAGAAGGCCUUCGGGUUGUAAAGCACUUUCAGUGGGGAAGAAAGCCUUGGGGCUAAUACCCUCGAGGAAGGACAUCACCCACAGAAGAAGCACCGGCUAACUCCGUGCCAGCAGCCGCGGUAAUACGGAGGGUGCGAGCGUUAAUCGGAAUUACUGGGCGUAAAGCGCGCGUAGGCGGUCUGAUAAGCCGGUUGUGAAAGCCCCGGGCUCAACCUGGGAACGGCAUCCGGAACUGUCAGGCUAGAGUGCAGGAGAGGAAGGUAGAAUUCCCGGUGUAGCGGUGAAAUGCGUAGAGAUCGGGAGGAAUACCAGUGGCGAAGGCGGCCUUCUGGACUGACACUGACGCUGAGGUGCGAAAGCGUGGGUAGCAAACAGGAGUAGAUACCCUUGUAGUC